CUGCCCGCCGUUGUGGUGGAGCUGAGGGACGUGGGGGAGCGUGGGGGCUGAGGGAAGGCUGAAGGGAAAUUGGGGCGUGGGGUGCGUUGGUGCCCUGGGAUGCGGAACGUGGGGUGCCCGUCUGCAACGAGCACCGCAGCGGAGAGGAGGAUGCCUCUGUGAGGUUUUUACUCCUCUUGACCUACCUAGUGGUCUCUUGGAGAAGCUUGGUCGCUUCUGUUUCCUGAGGCGAACGCUGAGGCGCUGUGACAUGGCGGCCUGUCCUGGUACAGCGCUCUGUGGAACGGGGUCCGUUUGCCAAAACAAAAGGAAAAAGGAAAGGAGAAUGAGUUAUUUAUUAUCUCUGCAUCCCUGGCAAACCAAGGAGUGCUGUAGUGUGGUGCCCAAGAAGCUCAUCAAGACACAAGUAAAAUCCUCUACAACGUAGAGAAAAAGACAGUAUUAGCAGAGAGAGAUGAUCACGGCCUUUAUGGUGCAGCCUUGCCCUGCAUGCCUCCUCAGCCUGGUUCCCCUGGGGCAGGCCCUCACGCUCGCGGUGCCUGGCGGUGUGAUGGCUCUGGGCCUGGGCCUGGCCAUGCUGCUGCCACCACAUGCUGGGUAUGGGCACACGGGUCUGGCUGCAGCACCGCAGGUUGCGCCCGGUACAGGAGGUCUGGGAGCACUGACUGCAGCCUGGUGUGAAGCCAUGGCAGGCUGUGAAGCUGUGGCUGACAGCCCCAGAGAGCACCUUGGGGCAUUUCGGUGACAUUGGCAUUAGUUCUCCUGCUGGCUUGCGAGCCUGGAAGCACAUCCAGCCAAAUGGGGUGUCUAAAAAUGGGUGACAGUACCUACAGGAAAGGCUUCCAUGUGGUAAGAGGCUGAAAGGUGCCUUUGUUUGUCGAAGGCAAAAAAAGCAACACAGCCAAUGGGUGUAAAGUGAUGAAUACUGUAAAUCUUGCUGUGUGCCAGUAACUGACAGACAAAUGAGAAAUGCUCAGUUAAAUCUUUUAAAAUGAACAUUUGCUUCUAUGGUGCAAUGAUGCCUGGUGUUGUUAGGUAGUUCUGAGGCAAAGAAGAUGACAACAUUAAUGGGAAUAAUGAGAACGGUAUCAUUUGUGCUUAUUUCUCUGGGGUAUUUUGCUUAAUGGAUUUGAUUAAAUUUUAUUUUGUCUUCCAUGGCUGAGUUUGAUAAGCCUGGUACAGCUCAGCCUCUCUCGCAGGUGAGGGCAAGGAAGAAAAUCUUCAUGGGAAGAGGUUGCUCCACAACUGUCCACAGCAUGUUGGAGCUCUUCCUGUGCCAGCUGAGCACUCUCGGAGAUCAGACACUGGUAGACCUGAAUGGAAGCUCUUGAUUAAUCUGUUUACUAUUUCUGUGUUUAUUCCAUGUUUGCAGCAUGUGCCAGCUGUAGUUGAGGUGGGAAUGUCCGGCACUGCCCUCAGCACAGCCUCCCUGCAGCUGAUGGCGCAUCCAUCCCUGGCUGGGCUACUGCUGCGUCUUCUUAUGUAGUGCUUCAGGGUUGACGUGGAAUGCCACAUAAGGCACUUUUACCAUUGCUGUGUAUCCAGAAACAUUACUGGUCUCGUAUCUGUCUCCAAUCAAGGAGAAAACAGUCAAUGAAUGAAGUGUGCUUGGAUUCUUAAAAGAUGGAAGGUGGAAGUAGCGGGAUGUCUAGGAAGACGUGAAUGCCAGGCCCCUCAGUGGAACAGCUGGACUGAAAAAGUUCAGGGAAAAUGGAGCAUUUCAUGAAUGACUGAGAGCCAUCAUAGCUGAAUUAGCGCACAAGUUGCCUAGCGAAGUGAACUCAGACAAAGAAGAUUUCAGUAAAGACAAGCUAGUGCUGAACAGAGUCGCCUGGACAGCAAUUGCAACAAUUUAAUGCCUUUGAAAGGAAAAGUGACUUUUUUUUUUUAAUUUUGUAAUGGACUUCAUCCUAUGGAAGCAAGGGAAUAAUUCAGAAAUCAGGAAAAACAAGAAGCAGCUGCCUUGCCUCCGAAGGGAACACGGCUAAAAUUCCUCGAGACUUUUUUCAGCCCCUUUUCCAGCUGAACUCCAGUGGCUCCCACUCCUUAGCAAAAAGCACCGCCAUAAGAGGCAGUAUCCUUAGUCUGAUCGUUUCCGGAAACAAUUUUCUCUACCCAGUAGCAAAACGUCCGUAUCAGAACCUCUUCUUGCUUUCUCCAGCCAUGCAAAUGUCCCACUGACAUAGGGUAGGAUGAAGCCUACCCUGGUUAGGGAGCUCUGGUUCACGUCAGCUGCUGGAAGGCUGGAAAUUUACCCCUUUUGAAUACUGUAGAAGCUCUCCAAGGACUUCGUUUAAGUCAAAGCAACUUCUCCACUUUUAC